GGGCCCGCACAAGCGGUGGAGCAUGUGGUUUAAUUCGAUGCAACGCGAAAAACCUUACCAGGCCUUGACAUCCUGAGAAUUCGGUAGAGAUACCUUAGUGCCUUCGGGAACUCAGUGACAGGUGUUGCAUGGCUGUCGUCAGCUCGUGUCGUGAGAUGUUGGGUUAAGUCCCGUAACGAGCGCAACCCUUAUCCUUAUUUGCCAGCACUUCGGGUGGGAACUUUAAGGAGACUGCCGGUGACAAACCGGAGGAAGGAGAGGAUGAUGUCAAGUCAUCAUGGCCCUUACGGCCUGGGCUACACACGUGCUACAAUGGGCAGUACAGAGGGCCGCGAUACCGCGAGGUGGAGCAAAUCCCAAAAAACUGUUCGUAGUCCGGAUCGGAGUCUGCAACUCGACUCCGUGAAGUCGGAAUC
rnacentral:rRNA from 1 species